GGGUAUCGCCAAGCGGUAAGGCACCGGAUUCUGAUUCCGGCAUUCCGAGGUUCGAAUCCUCGUACCCACCA
rnacentral:tRNA from 1 species